CAGCACCUCAAGUGGUCAGGAUGAUUAUUGGGCCUAAAGCAUCCGUAGCCGGCGCUGUAAGUUUUCGGUUAAAUCUGUACGCUCAACGUACAGGCUGCCGGGAAUACUGCAGAGCUAGGGAGUGGGAGAGGUAGACGGUACUCGGUAGGAAGGGGUAAAAUCCUUUGAUCUAUUGAUGACCACCUGUGGCGAAGGCGGUCUACAAGAACACGUCCGACGGUGAGGGAUGAAAGCUGGGGGAGCAAACCGGAUUAGAUACCCGAGUAGUCC
rnacentral:rRNA from 1 species